UUAUAUUAUUGUAUAUUAUUAAUUCAUAUUUUAUUAAUUAUGAUUGCUAAAUUUUAGGUUUAAUACCUAUUUUGGUCCCUCUUUUGGGAGGGUUUGUUCAAAGUGGUCCCUCCGUUUUUCAAAAGUUCACUUAAGUCCUAUCUUUUGCAAAAACUGUUCAAAGUGGUCCUUUUCGCUAAUGGCGUUAAGUUCAUUAACGACAGACGUGCCAGGUGUCUAACAUCUGCUGAUUUGGCAUUGUUAAUUGUUUUUUAAAAAAUAUAUAAUAGUGACGUGGAAAUUAAAUUAAUUAGGGUUGGAUUAGAGAAGGAUUUAGGGGUUGGCUCGACGCCGGCAACAACACCUGUCCCGCAACCAUCCAGAUCUGGUCCGAUUCCCUUCGUCAUUCAGCUAUCCUCUCCCCUGACCAGGUCCUCCUAACCGUGUCUCAAUUGGAAACCCACUCUCUCCGCUCCGCUUCCCUCACCAAACCCACUCUCUCCUAACCGGAGAACGAUCCGGCGCUGGUGUUCAUAGACAGAGACUAACUCCGAAUCUGUCACCUGAUUCUUGUUCAGGCGGUGGUGUUGCUGCAGAGAAGGAUUCGGUAAGCUAGAUUUUCCUAUUUAUUUGUUUUUUUUUUGUACAAUUGACCAUGAUCUACCUGGAAACAUCUACGAAUUAAUGAAGAAACUUGCCAAAUUCAGUGGUUGGGGUAGCAUUUAGUUCUCUGAAUGAGGUGUUUUGUAUUAAAAGAAAAGAAAUCAUUGAUAGUAAAUGCGCUGAAUUUUGCAGUUUUCUCACAAAUUUGGUUGGAGAUCUUCGAAACAACUGCUUGGAACA
rnacentral:lncRNA from 1 species